CGGAAGUAAAGUCUAAAAGGUUUCCGUAGGUGAACCUGCGGAAGGAUCAUUAAAAAAUAUCCUCGAUGAGAGUGAUUAAUAAUCAUCCUACCUUUGUGAAUUUGUUGUUUGAAUAAUUUUUUUGAUUUUAAAAAAAAUUAUUAUGUUUUGUCUAUCCUAAAUUGGUUGUUGUUGUAAAAGACAAGUGAAUCAUUUAGGAAUAGGCUUUCAUAAAUAAUAUUUUUUUUCAAGUCUUAAAGACCUUUUUUAAAUUAACUUUGUAUCAUUUGUCUAAAUAUUUUUAAAUAAUUUAAAACAACUUUGACAAUGGAUCUCUUGGUUCUCGCAACGAUGAAGAACGCAGCAAAAUGCGAUAAGUAAUGUGAAUUGCAGAAUACGUGAAUCAUCAAAUCUCGAACGCAUAUUGCACUUUUUAGUUUACUAAAAAGUAUGUCUGUUUGAGUAUCAGUAAAUAUCUCAUAAAACAUUUUUGUUUUAUGGUUAUGAGUGUUUACAACGAUAAACAAGUUGUUCACUUAAAUUCAUUUUAAUUUAAGACCAUUUUGGUUUUAAUAAAAAUUGAUAAAAUUUCCGUAAAAAGGAAUAACCUUUCAGUUUUUUAAUUAUUACCAACAAACGGUCCGAUUUAAAAGGAAAUUAUUUAAAUAACUUGAUCUCAAAUCAGAUAAGAGUACCCGCUGAACUUAAGCAUAUCAAUAAGCGAGGAAAAGAAACUAACAAGGAUCCUUAGUAACGCGAGUGAAGCGGAAGAGCUCAAAUUUGAAAUCUUCAAGUUCUACCUUGACGAAUUGUAGUUUAAAGAAGUGUUUCUGUUAGAUGAGUAGCAAAAGUUCCUUGGAAUGGACAUCAUAGAGGGUGAGAAUCCGUAUUUGGUUAUUCAUUCUAGCUUGUGAUACACUUUCAAGAGUCGGAUGUUUGGGAAUGCAGUCCAAAAUGGUGGUAAAUUUCAUCUAAAGCUAAAUAUUGGCGAGAGACGAUAGCGAACAAGUACCGUGAGGAAAGAUGAAAAGAACUUUGAAAAGAGAGUUAAACAGUACGUGAAAUUGUCAAAAGGGAAGCGUUUGACACCAGUGUUGUUUUCCGAAAUCAAUUACGAAUGGCUUGAUUUUGUGUUGUAUUGACCUAUCAGCUUUCUUCACUUUUUCGAGUCUUUCUUAAUCACUUUCGGUUAACAAGUCAACAUCAAUUUCUUUUGUUGUAAAAGGUAUUCGGAAGUGGCUUUCUUUCGGAGAAAGUGUUAUAGCCUAUACUUCUACAUCGGAGAGAUUGAGGUCUGCAGCGUAGAUCCUUCGGGUUAGAUACAUUUGUGCUAAGUUGUAGCUUUUCAUAGACAACUUGUUGACUAUGUUUAGUCAUGCGCUUACUCGCUUAUGCUACUUUACCUACGCUUAGGAUGUUGAC
rnacentral:misc_RNA from 1 species